rnacentral:lncRNA from 1 species
GCACGGAAGGCUCCGUGCUUCCGAUAGCAUAGUAGCCUCACUCUAUAUAUAUAUAUAUAUAUAUAUAUAUAUAUAUAUAUAUAUAUAUAUAUAUAUAUAUAUAUAUAUAUAUAUAUAGAGAGAGAGAGAGAGAGAGAGAGAGAGAGUCCAACUACUAUACUAUCGAUCCAUAGUAUUAAGCUCUGAGUACUAUCGAAUUUUCUAUCGUUAAAUUUAUUCUUUGAUCAUUUUCACCCGUUAGAUUAUACUAUUCAACUAACCAUCCGCUCAAUCCUAAAAAAUUAUUAUCAUCGUAAUCAGAUACCACUGUCAUCCUAACCGCACAUUCUUUCAUCCAACGGUCGAAAACUCAAUAACACCAAGUGCUUGAUACUAUCGAUAGUAUAGUAGCAUAUAUAUAUAUAUAUAUAU